CCUUGGUUUUGGGAUGCUUAUCCUCAGCUACUAUAUGUUCGGAGAAGCAGAUCAAAAACAAAAAGGUGAACUGCUAAGCCUCAUCAACUCUUUCUGCUGUGCUUAAACCUUUUUUUACUGUUCUUUUUAUCAAAUGAAAGAAUAAUAUAUUCUC